rnacentral:tRNA from 1 species
GGAGAGGUGUCCGAGUGGCCGAAGGAACGCGACUGGAAAUCGCGUACCUGCCGAAAGGUGGGUCGAGGGUUCGAAUCCCUCCCUCUCCG